UACAGAGGGUGCGAGCGUUAAUCGGAAUUACUGGGCGUAAAGCGCACGUAGGUGGCUUAGUAAGUCGGAUGUGAAAUCCCCAGGCUUAACCUGGGAACUGCAUUCGAAACUGCUUUGCUAGAGUAUGGGAGAGGGCAGUGGAAUUUCAGGUGUAGCGGUGAAAUGCGUAGAUAUCUGAAGGAACAUCAGUGGCGAAAGCGACUGCCUGGACCAAUACUGACGCUCAUGUGCGAAAGCGUGGGGAGCAAACAGG
rnacentral:rRNA from 1 species